UACGUAGGUGACCAGCGUUGUCCGGAUUUACUGGGCGUAAAGAGCGCGCAGGCGGUCGUUCAAGUCGAGUGUGAAAGCCCCCGGCUCAACUGGGGAGGGUCACUCGAUACUGAUCGACUUGAAGGCAGGAGAGGGAAGCGGAAUUCCCGGUGUAGUGGUGAAAUGCGUAGAUAUCUGGAGGAACACCGGUGGCGAAGGCGGCAUCCUGGACCAAUACUGACACUGAAAAGCGAAAGCCAGGGGAGCAAACGGG
rnacentral:rRNA from 1 species